GAUCGAACCCCCAACCUCAUACUUAAGGGGCGAGGUGCUGAACCACCACGCCAACCAUGUUGGUUAAUUUAAUAUAUAAUAUAUUUA